UUGUUUCAAUAGCAGAUAUACUGAAAUUGGAACAAUACAGAGAAAAUUAGCCUAGUCUCUGUUCAAAUAUGACAAAUUUUUAAAAUGGCCCAUAAAAAGAAGU